rnacentral:piRNA from 1 species
CCCAUGCAAAGGAGCAAACGCCAGGCCG